AUUUAUUAGUAUAACAAGAAACCAAUAAAUUCUUAGAAGUGGAGAGAGCAAGGGAAUGAAAGGCCUCUUUGCGUUGCAUACUCUUAAUGCUCCCCACAAUGAUGGUUUUGUUGUCUUGGGGAGGGUUUGAAGCUUGUUUCU
rnacentral:sRNA from 1 species